rnacentral:tRNA from 1 species
GGACACGUAGCUCAGUAGGAUAGAGCGAGGCUCUCCUAAAGCCUAGGCCGGGGGUUCGAUUCCUCUCGUGUCCACCA